AACCUGCCCAAUGAUAUUUAUUUAAUGGCCGCGGUAUUUUGACUGUGCAAAGGUAGCAUAAUCAUUAGCUUAUUGAUUGUGAGAUGGUAUGAAUGGUUGGACGAAAUAUUAACUGUCUUCAUUUUUAUUAAUAUAAAUUAAUUUUUGAGUUAAAAAGCUUAAAUUUUAUUAAAGGACGAGAAGACCCUAUAGAUCUUUAAUAGUUAAAUUUAGUUUGUUUUUGGUUUAUUUUUUUAAUAAGGUUUAAAUUUUUUUUUGUUGGGGUGACAUUUAGAUAUAUUUAACUCUUUAUUUAAUUUUUUCAUUUAUUUUUGUGUAUUUGAUUUUUAUUAUUAUUAAGAUAUAGAUACCUUAGGGAUAACAGCGUAAUUCUUUUUGAGAGUUCAUAUUAACAUGGGAGAUUGCGACCUCGAUGUUGAAUUAAGAUUAUAUUUUGGUGUAGCAGCUUUAUUUUAUUAGU
rnacentral:rRNA from 1 species